GACGAACGCUGGCGGCGUGCCUAAUACAUGCAAGUAGAACGCACAGUUUAUACCGUAGCUUGCUACACCAUAGACUGUGAGUUGCGAACGGGUGAGUAACGCGUAGGUAACCUGCCUGGUAGCGGGGGAUAACUAUUGGAAACGAUAGCUAAUACCGCAUAAUAUUGAUUAUUGCAUGAUAAUUAAUUGAAAGGUGCAAUUGCACCACUACCAGAUGGACCUGCGUUGUAUUAGCUAGUAGGUGAGGUAACGGCUCACCUAGGCGACGAUACAUAGCCGACCUGAGAGGGUGAUCGGCCACACUGGGACUGAGACACGGCCCAGACUCCUACGGGAGGCAGCAGUAGGGAAUCUUCGGCAAUGGACGAAAGUCUGACCGAGCAACGCCGCGUGAGUGAAGAAGGGUUUCGGAUCGUAAAGCUCGGUUGUAAGAGAAGAACGGGUGUGAGAGUGGAAAGUUCACACUGUGACGGUAUCUUACCAGAAAGGGGCGGCUAACUACGUG
rnacentral:rRNA from 1 species